GACGAACGCUGGCGGCGUGCUUAACACAUGCAAGUCGAACGGUGAACGAGGGAGCUUGCUCCCUCCGGAUCAGUGGCGAACGGGUGAGUAACACGUGAGCAAUCUGCCCCGAACUCUGGGAUAAGCGUUGGAAACGACGUCUAAUACCGGAUACGACGCGGGAGGGCAUCCUCUCCGCGUGGAAAGAACUUCGGUUGGGGAUGAGCUCGCGGCCUAUCAGCUUGUUGGUGAGGUAACGGCUCACCAAGGCGACGACGGGUAGCCGGCCUGAGAGGGUGACCGGCCACACUGGGACUGAGACACGGCCCAGACUCCUACGGGAGGCAGCAGUGGGGAAUAUUGCACAAUGGGCGCAAGCCUGAUGCAGCAACGCCGCGUGAGGGACGACGGCCUUCGGGUUGUAAACCUCUUUUAGCAGGGAAGAAGCGAAAGUGACGGUACCUGCAGAAAAAGCACCGGCUAACUACGUG
rnacentral:rRNA from 1 species